rnacentral:snRNA from 1 species
AUACUUACCUGGUGCCGAGGUCUCAUUGAUCACCGAGGACGAGCCCCCAGGGGGAGGCGCGGGCAUUGCCCUGCGCUCACGUUGACUUCUUCCACUACCCCAAACUGGGACAGAUGGGGCAGGCAAAUUGCUUAAAUUGCUUCAACGCAAGAUAGGGCGCCACCGCUUGAGCAAG